UCUUAGGCAAGGAAAACUCUAAGAUGGUUUUCCCAGUGCCUUCCUCUAAAUUAUGAGUUCUUUGGUAGACUCCCGUUCAAGUACUAACCAGGUUUAAUUUCUAAGAGCAAUCAGGAUUUGGUGCCUACAGCUCAAAAAAAUCCUCCUGCCAGCAUGGAUGUUUGGUGACAGUAAAGAAAGAAGCAUAGCUAGAACAUGGAAUAUGGAGUGAGAGCCUCGCAUCAGCUGCUGGAGUCAAGGCAUCAUGGCCUUUACAGAACUACAAUACCCCAAAUCCCACCAACAGUUUGGAGAAUUUGGAACGAGAUCCCAACAUAGCAAUAUUUUCCAAAUUCAUAGAUCAGAAAUCCAUCAGCAUUCCACCUCCUGGCAAGAAAGAUUUUUCUCAUCACUUGAUGAGUAUGUUUUUAUUGUAUGUUAUAUGCCUUUGAUCUUAUAUGUUUAUAUGUUUUAAUGUAUUUUGUUGCUGUAUUUUAUGGUGUAUUCUGGGCUUGGUCCCCAUGUGAGCCGCCCUGAGUCCCUCCUGGGAGAUGGAGCGGGGUAUAAGAAUAAAGUUGUUGUUGUUGUUAUUUUA